rnacentral:rRNA from 1 species
GAUGAACGCUGGCGGCGUGCCUAAUACAUGCAAGUCGAGCGAACAGACGAGGAGCUUGCUCCUCUGACGUUAGCGGCGGACGGGUGAGUAACACGUGGAUAACCUACCUAUAAGACUGGGAUAACUUCGGGAAACCGGAGCUAAUACCGGAUAAUAUAUUGAACCGCAUGGUUCAAUAGUGAAAGACGGUUUUGCUGUCACUUAUAGAUGGAUCCGCGCCGCAUUAGCUAGAUGGUAAGGUAACGGCUUACCAAGGCAACGAUGCGUAGCCGACCUGAGAGGGUGAUCGGCCACACUGGAACUGAGACACGGUCCAGACUCCUACGGGAGGCAGCAGUAGGGAAUCUUCCGCAAUGGGCGAAAGCCUGACGGAGCAACGCCGCGUGAGUGAUGAAGGUCUUCGGAUCGUAAAACUCUGUUAUUAGUGAAGAACAAAUGUGUAAGUAACUAUGCACGUCUUGACGGUACCUAAUCAGAAAGCCACGGCUAACUACGUG